rnacentral:rRNA from 1 species
GACGAACGCUGGCGGCGCGCCUAACACAUGCAAGUCGAACGGAGUCAAGAGGAGCUUGCUUUUCUUGACUUAGUGGCGAACGGGUGAGUAACGCGUGAGUAACCUGCCCUGGAGUGGGGGACAACAGUUGGAAACGACUGCUAAUACCGCAUAAGCCCACGGAUCUGCAUGGAUCUGCGGGAAAAGGAUUUAUUCGCUCUAGGAUGGACUCGCGUCCAAUUAGCUAGUUGGUGAGGUAACGGCCCACCAAGGCGACGAUUGGUAGCCGGACUGAGAGGUUGAACGGCCACAUUGGGACUGAGACACGGCCCAGACUCCUACGGGAGGCAGCAGUGGGGGAUAUUGCACAAUGGGGGAAAACCUGAUGCAGCGACGCCGCGUGGAGGAAGAAGGUUUUCGGAUUGUAAACUCCUGUCGUUAGGGACGAUAAUGACGGUACCUAACAAGAAAGCACCGGCUAACUACGUG